rnacentral:lncRNA from 1 species
AUCCGCCACCAUGUUCAUACGUUCCACGUUGUCUCCACGACAUCACACUUCUACGUUACUUCAUUUACAGGCACGCCGCAUGCCUGCUCCGGCGAUGAAUCAUGCCAACCUAAAAGAUUACCACAUGACCCAACAAGAAACGAUGUAACGCCCGAGACAUACAUAUAUGUCAUUCCACCACGUUACACCGGCACACAUAGGCCUUAAGCCUUUCUCUAACUCAUUUACAUCUCCC